AAAAUGCGAUACGUAAUGCGAAUUGCAGAAUUCAGUGAAUCAUCAAAUCUUUGAACGCAAAUUGCGCUCUCGGGAUAGGCCUGGGAGCACGCCUCUUUGAGUAUCGAUUCCACCACAACUCGAAAGCGUCCUUGUAAUGAGGGCGCGGACGGAAACUGAGCUUUCUCGUUAACGCGAGAUGCUUUAAAAUGAGCGAGAGGCAUGAGCGCUUUGCUCAGGGACUUGCUUUUGUCUCUGGUGACGAGGAUAACUUCACAUUCGGUUGUGAACCCUUCCAUCGUGACCAUUGAGAUAGAGGACGCUCUGACGCAGCGCUCAAUAUGCACUCGGACCUUUUCUCUUCUGGGUUCGAAUGAACUUUUGAGAGAAAAACAACUUUGAACUAGAUCUCAAAUGAAGC
rnacentral:misc_RNA from 1 species